UUUCCGUAAGUGAACCUGCGGAAGGAUCAUUAUUGUAUAACCGAGGUGCGAGGGCUGUCGCUGACCCGAAAGGUCGUGCACGCCCGAGUGCCCUCACACACAUCCAUCUCACCCCUAUGUGCACCACCGCGUGGGUCCCCCUUUGGCUUGUUCGGAGGGGGGCUUCGUUUUUCCACCAAACUUGUUUUGCGUGGAAGAAUUUUUUUUUUUUUUUUCCGUUCCCGCAUCCAAAAAACUUUUAAACAACGGAUUCUUUGCCUCUCGCUUCGAUGAAAAACC
rnacentral:misc_RNA from 1 species